GGGGCUGUAGCUCAGCUGGGAGAGCGCCUGCUUUGCACGCAGGAGGUCAGCGGUUCGAUCCCGCUCAGCUCCA
rnacentral:tRNA from 1 species